UAGCCUCUUGAACUUUAAAUUCGUCCAUCCAUCUUGCUCCAUUCAUAAGCUAUCCAUUUGGUGCCCCAUACUGCCUCAAAAUGCUCCAAAUUGCACUUUCUUGCCAACUUUGUCAUAUGGACCUACAAACACACGAAAAUAGCUUAAAACACUAUAAUAAGUAGAAACUAACUAUGAAAAUGCAAGAAAACAAGCUAACUAAGUCGCAUAAAUAUGCUCCUAUUAAGUCACACCAAUGACUCGAGACCAGUCACUUUCCCUAAGAGAAGACAUAGCACGUACUGAUCCUAACGGACUGUCAAUACCCAAUUGGCAAUCCUAUGAUCAGGAACGUUUAAGAUAUGUAUACAAAAGAGAAUGGUCUCAUGAUUCUAAAUUCUUUAGAUCACAUUCUCCCAAUUACAUAUUCCUUGGACUUAUCGUUUAAGCAUAUAACAUUUAUAUGACACGGCUUAAACAAUAAUCUUUGCCCUUUAUAUUAACCCAGAUUAGUUUAACAUGUGAAAUGUCCGUAAAGUAUCAUCAUAUGACUGGUUUUAGGGCACAUUUCCAACAAUCUCCCACUUGCACUAGAGCCAAUCAGCUUGGUCGUCUGUGAUGAUACCUCUUCCGAAUUCAUUUUAAAAAAUGGCUGAUUAGUAGGCCUUGACAAUGGAUAUCUAUAUGUUAUCUAUAGAAACAACCUUGAGAAUACCAAAGUCACCAUUAUGCAUGAUUCUCAAUCAUGUGGUUUAGGUUCUCAUUUGGGUUCGGAUCUUGAUGAGACCUUGAUUCCCUAGCUUGAGCUAUCGCCACAAUAGUGUCAUAAUGUCGGUACACUAGAGACACUUUCUAGUUGGAACUGAAUAAAGAGUUCAAAAAUUAACUUUCUAAUCCAAACAACAUUGUUGUAAGCUUCUAUAUGACGAUAUAUUUUGCAUGCAUGAUGGAACACACUAAAGUCAUUACUUUUAAUGUUUCCAGCCAAAUAUCUCUUUAGUCAUAAUAAAGAGAUAUCCAAUAAUCUCUUCAUUCAAAAUGAAAAGACAUCGAAUAAUGGAUACGAUAUUAGAUUCAUAAAUGCACUUAUGCUUCCAUUGCAUUACUCUAAUUCUUCCUCAUUCUUGAGGAAUCUAUCCUUUAGCAUUUCUUAAAUACUUAAGGACUCACUUGACAGUUGCCAUGGUUCUGAUCUUGGGCUUGCACUAAUAUCGCCUUGUACUGAUCUUGGUGCAACUCAUAUCAAUAUUUUUCAUACAAUAUGAAAUACGUAAAUCACCUUUCUGCAUAUGCAUAAAGGAUUCUAUUUACGCUUUAUGCUUCUUUGGGAGUCUAAAGGGCACAUUCCCUUUUAAAAGAGCAAUUUCCCAAUCUGAUUAGAAUUGUCCUUUCAUUUGAAGUUUAUCAUUUGAGAAACUUCCUGUUGGAAAUGUGCCCUAAAACCAAUCAUAUGAUGAUACUUUACGGACAUUUCACACGUUAAACUAAUAUAGUUUAAUUUAAAGGGCAAAGAUUAUAGUUUGAAGUCGUCUCAUAUAAAUGUUAUACGCUUAAACGAUAAGUCCAAGGAAUAUUUAAUUGGGAGAAUGCGAUCUAAAGAAGUUAGAUUCAUGAGACCAUUCUCUUUUGUAUACAUAUCCUAAACGUUCCUGAUCAUAGGAUUGCUAAUUGGGCAUUGACAGUCCGUUAAGAUCAGUACAUGCUAUAUCUUCUCUUAGGGAGAGUGACUGGUCUCGAGUCAUUGGUGUGACUGACACCAAGACAAGUACGUAGGUGCUCAAUAGAGAAUGAGUUCACUGAACGCGAUUAACAAGGAGUUCUCAUACUCAUGUCACAUGAGAACUCAUGGUUGGGAUAAUGCAAAGUAGUCCUUUGACCUGAGGCAUCAUAGUUGCCUUGUGGUUAGGUCCUUGAUCUUUGACUAUGUCAAAGUCACUUCAUCCGAGGGUGUCAACGACAUAGUUGGGGUUAAGCCACUUAGCCAUGGAGGCAAGUGAAUGCGCAACAAGGGAUCUCUAAUCUUCAAACUGUUUGAGGGAGAAUACUCUAUUAUAUGAUUAAGAAUCUCUAGCCAGAGUAUGAAUGAGAUUUAGGAAGUCGUUCCAAUGAGAUUUAGGAAGUCGUUCCAAAUCAUAUUCAAGGUAAUCAUAUAAGUAAAUGAAUCACAUUGGAUAGUAGACAUGAAUAAACUAUCAAACCAAACAAUGUGGUCAAUAGUAUUGUAUUAGAGAAAAACCGUAUUGCAUUGUAAUCCUAAACUGAAUAGGUUCUCCACCUCUUCUUAUUAGCUUGGGUAACCAUGACAUACUGCUAGGUGUCACU
rnacentral:lncRNA from 1 species